GUGGUAUAUAUAAGAUAUGGGCCU
rnacentral:siRNA from 1 species